rnacentral:misc_RNA from 1 species
GUAGGUGAACCUGCGGAAGGAUCAUUACAAAAUUAAGCUUGCGGGGCUGCGUGGAUGGCACCCGUGUCUGAAGCCGCCUUGCAUUAAGCCCACUCCCGAGAGGGAGAUGGACGCGCACAGCUCUUGUUGUGCGCAAAUAGAAUUUAAAUCAUGACUUAUACAACCAAAAGUAAAUAACCAAAACUUUUAACAAUGGAUCUCUUGGCUCUU